GACGAACGCUGGCGGCGUGCUUAACACAUGCAAGUCGAACGGAAAGGCCCUGCUUUUGUGGGGUGCUCGAGUGGCGAACGGGUGAGUAACACGUGAGUAACCUGUCCUUGACUUUGGGAGAUCCUCAGGAAACUGGGGCUCAUACCGGAUAGGAUCUCCUGCUGCAUGGUGGGGGUUGGAUAGUUUCGGCGGUUGGGGAUGGACUCGCCGCCUAUUGGCUUGUUGGUGGGGUAGUGGCUUACCAAGGCCUUGAAGCGUAGCCGGCCUGGGAGGGGGAGCGGCCAAGUCGGGACUGGGAUACGGCCCGGACCCGACUGGUACGCAAGGGAGGGGAGGAGUAUAUAGUGGGAGGGGGGCAAGUGUGACACCGCAGCGUGCGGGAUGAGGGGCAUGGGGUUGGAAAGCACAGUCGUCUGAGCCGAGGCGUUAGUGACGGUAACGGGUAAAGAAGCACCGGCUAACUACGUG
rnacentral:rRNA from 1 species